UGAAGGCAUGCACUCGUACUUUUAUUACAUGUUGUGGUAAUUAAUCUGGUGGUAUCGCGGCAAUCGUCCGUUACGGGCACUCGAUUGCUGCACAUCAUGUAUCCAAGGCGAUCGUUUCCUGGUACACUACCUGGCAGAAAACGAAGAUGCUAUAAUGCUAAUCGAGUAGAAUCCGAUUCCAAUUGUUCCGGUGGUUGAUCUAGCUCAUCUACACUAAGGCUUCAUAAGAUAUAUCUUCCGGGGAGAAGACUGUAAACUAGUCUUUGUUAUUUAGAACUUGAUUGUGAUGGGUUGUUGGUGGUGGAAGUGGUCAAGAAGAAGCAUCCCUUAUGAUUAUACUAUGGAUGCUGAACUGAAGAUUGUGAUGGACUGUGAAAAUUUCGCAAAAAAACUCAGAAAAGCUGUUAGCAAAC